rnacentral:rRNA from 1 species
ACGUAGGAGGCAAACGUUAUCCGGAAUUACUGGGCGUAAAGCGCACGCAGGCGGCCCUGCAAGUCCGACGUGAAAGCUCCCGGCUUAACUGGGAGAGGCCGUUGGAUACUGCAGAGCUUGAGGUUAGGAGAGGGAAGCGGAAUUCCCGGUGUAGUGGUGGAAUGCGUAGAUAUCGGGAGGAACUCCAGAGGCGAAGGCGGCUUCCUGGCCUACACCUGACGCUGAGGUGCGAAAGCGUGGGGAGCGAACAGG